UACGAAGGGGGCUAGCGUUGCUCGGAAUGACUGGGCGUAAAGAGCUCGUAGGCGGUUUGUCGCGUCGACUGUGAAAACCCGAGGCUUAACCUCGGGCCUGCAGUCGAUACGGGCAGACUAGAGUUCGGUAGGGGAGACUGGAACUCCUGGUGUAGCGGUGAAAUGCGCAGAUAUCAGGAGGAACACCGGUGGCGAAGGCGGGUCUCUGGGCCGAUACUGACGCUGAGGAGCGAAAGCGUGGGGAGCAAACAGGAUUAGA
rnacentral:rRNA from 1 species